GGGUGCGACCAUACCAUCACUAAAGCACCGGAUCCCAUCAAAACUCUGCAGUUAAGCAUGCUUGAGCGAGAACAGUACUAAGAUAAGUGACCUCUUGAGAAGUCCUUGUGUUGCACCCC
rfam:Citrus clementina cultivar Clemenules unplaced genomic scaffold scaffold_5, whole genome shotgun sequence.